AAUCUUCCACAAUGGGCACAAGCCUGAUGGAGCAACGCCGCGUGAGUGAAGAAGGUUUUAGGAUCGUACAACUCUGUUGUAAGGGAAGAACAAGUACAGUAGUACCUGGCUGUACCUUGACGGUACCUUAUUAGAAAGCCACGGCUAACUACGUGACAGCAGACGCGGUAAUACGUAGGUGGCAAGCGUUGUACGGAAUUAUUGGGCGUAAAGCGCGCGCAGGCGGUCCUUUAAGUCUGAUGUGAAAGCCCACGGCUCAACCGUGGAGGGUCAUUGGAAACUGGGGGACUUGAGUGCAGAAGAGGAAAGUGGAAUUCCAAGUGUAGCGGUGAAAUGCGUAGAGAUUUGGAGGAACACCAGUGGCGAAGGCGACUUUCUGGUCUGUAACUGACGCUGAGGCGCGAAAGCGUGGGGAGCAAACAGG
rnacentral:rRNA from 1 species